ensembl:lncRNA
UUUUUUUUUCUUUGAAAACAGCAAAUCUAAUAAGAAAGAUGAUAGGUCUGCAGGCUGUUGAAGUUUCUCAACAUCUCUGGUUCUUGAAACAAGUUGUUUCUUCUUUUUGCUUUCCGCCUGACAUGGGAGACAGCCUUGAAAGCCUCUGAGAGAAACUAUUGAUUUCCUCUUAAGGAUAGAUUAGAAGAAUGAGAGCCUUGAGGAAAACAGCUGCCAUUUAUCCAUAGUGUACUUCAAAAGAAAAAAUUCCAUUGUGUUUCUACUAGUUGAUUCCAGGGUCAGUAAGUAAUAGCCCCCAAAUACUCCCCAACACUUAAAACUUCAUAUGAGACAGGAGAUUCCCUUUAGUCAUGCUUCUUAUCUUUGUUUUACAAGCAUAGUUCUGUUAAUGUUAACAAUGCUGAUGUUGACAAAAGCUCGGAUAGUUACAUCCUUGAUGUCAUGGAUUACUUGCUCAACAGCCAAAAGAAUUACCAACAUCAUUAUAGGGGAACACUUGUAUGCUUCCCUCUUUAACAGAGAUCAGUCAUCUUCUACUGUUGCUUUAGUUUCAUCUUACCAAACAUUGUAUGUCAUGUUGUAUAUAUUUGGGUUCAGAAAUCCUUACUGUGAAAACACCAAAUGAGUUAUUUUUACACAGACCUGGAAAAUUCACUGACUAAAAUUGAGAUAUUUCUCUGGCUUUAAUAUUAAUUUCAUCUAUCUUCUGUAUAACAAUAAUUACCAUUUGUCUCAAUAUACUCAUAAGGGAUAUUCCUAUCUAGGAGAAAAGUUGAGAUAUAAAAGCAAUUUAGUGGUUAAACAUAUGGUUUCAAUAACUCCCUGGAAAUGCAAAUUUUAAAUUGCUGCAAAGCAAUCUCAGAUCUUAGGCUUUCAAAGUAGUCAAACGAAAUACCAUGCAAUUUACUCUGUAGGGAUAAUUAGACUAGUAUUUAAAAAUGAAGUCAAAUCUAAUCUGCAGGGCUGCUUAAGAUCCAGUGAUAGUAUCCACAGGAGAAAUCCCUUAUGUGGUCCAUAGUGAAGCUUGUACAUUGGUUGUGCCAAUGACUGCAUGCAAUACAGUUAUGAUUAAAUUCAGCAGUACAACAGACAAAAAGUUACUGAGACACUUAGGUCCAAUUUCCUGAAUGAUUCGGUGCGAAAAUUUGAAACAAAAGAGAGACUUCAGAUUCAAUUUGUUGUAAUACAAGACUAAAAAGGUUCAGAAAUUAACUAGAAACAAAUAUCUACAUCAAGAUUUUAUAUCUGCUCAUUGUCAUAUAUUGAAUAUCAGAUUAGAGCUAGGACUCGGACGUGAUCUAGCAGGCCAAUUUCAAGCUGUAGUUUUAUUAUUUCUUUUUUAUGAUUAUUUCAACCUCCAGAAAGGAAUUUAGCAAUUUCCCACUUUCACAUGGAACUGCAAUCCAGUUCCAAAUUUCUUAAUUUUUUUCUUAUUGUUUUCAAGCAGUAUCAGAGUUCUAGAGAUAUAAAUGUCUUAUAAAUAUUUGGCAGUGACAAAUCAUGCAUGCCUGAAAUUACUAAUCUGAUUUCAUUGGAAGAUAUCAUACUUCAUUUUCUUUACUACACGGUGCUUGGGAAUAUAAAUAUGCAUGUGUCUAAAGUUGGCUCUGUAUUUUAAUGAUCAUACAAGUAGCCCAUGGCCAAAGUUUUUAGGUUUGUAAAAAUAUCUGAAAUAUUUUUUUAAGAUAAUUUCUACAUAAGUACAUUUCCGUUAAUAUUUUUUUAAUCCACAGUACUGACAUAAUUGCCCAAAAUCUUCAGGAUCCUUACUCAGAUGUAUCAAUAUUUUUUCUCUUAGCAUAAUGAAAUUGCAGUAGUUUACACACCAUUGCAAUUAACAGGCAUUUACAGCUUUCAUGUCAAGACAUAGUCUUAGUCCACAACUAGCAAGUUUUAAGACCCGUGCAGCAUCUAGCACUAAGACUUUGACAGUAUCAAAUAUUAAAACAUGUAUGUACAUUCUUUGAAAAUGAACUUCUUUUAAUAAAAAGAAAUAAAUAAAAAGCCUUCUUGCUUUUGCUGCCAUAAUUUAAAAUCAAAAACAUUACCAUCUCUUUGAACCUAUAUAAUGAACUGCUUUAUUCGUUAAAGAGGUGUUAUAAGACUACAAACAACAGAAAAUGAAGAGUUCUAUGAAUGCUUCUGUGUGAAUGAAACUCAAGCAGCAAGAUAAUUUUUUAAUAAAGGGAAAUAAUUUAUUUAUAAGAUAAAUAAAUGUAUCAAUAUAAAUGUAUCAAUAUACUCUUGAAUCAGGCAGAGUAUUAGUAUAUGCUGUUAGGCUUAGGUACAAAUAUGUAUAUACAGAAUAGUGAUAUAUCUAAGAAUUAAUCAAAGAACAUAUAAAUCUGAAUGAAUUUUUCUGAAUUUUCUGUUCUAAAUACUGUUGCUGUCACCUUAGAAAGAAUCCUAAAUAGUUAUUUAAAAAUACACUGGCACUACUAUCUGAUUUUAUUAUUAAUGUUUCAAAGAGAGGGCCCAUAGUUAAUUAUAUAAUAAGCAGAGCUUUGUGGUGGGGCACUUCUUAGAUGAAAAGUGCCCUAAUUUUGAGAAUUUCAUAAAUUAAACACUGAAAGUGUAAAGCAACAGCAAUCUGGAUGAAAAAUACACUUCCUUUUUUUUAGUGUGUGAGUAUUUAAAAUUGAUUACCAGGUGUUUUCAAAUGUUUGUGUGAGAGACUCAUUUAAUUUCAGCAGGUAAUCUUCAGCAGGUAACCUUAGGCUCUGUUAUAGUCAAUACAGAGAUAGGCAUGCCUGGAAAACAAUUGGUCUGACCUUUCUCAGGCAUCUCUGGAGAUUCCUGUUCCUACCCAUGAUUAUGUUUGGAGCCACAUUGACUCCCAGCAACUUACACAACUACCAUCAAGCAUAGAGAGGAAAAUUCUAGCUGAACAUACUUUCCAUUCGUUGUACAGACUGUGCAAAUUUCAUGUAAUUUAUCUUGCCCUUUAAGACUCAGUAGUAUUUGAUUUGGUGACUCUGUUCUGUCUUGCUUAAACUGGACUUGAAUUAGAAAUUACACAGGGCAAUUAUGUAGCCUAGAUUUUACUCCCAUGUGUCAUUUACAUAUGUCCUUAGAUUGUUAAGUGAAAAAGAGCUAAAUCAUUUCCUUCCCUUUAGAAACCAUUAAAAUCCACUUAUUAGGUAUAUUGAAUCAUUUUUCUCUAACAGUUUGAAUACUGAAUCAACAUCAUACAGUGUUGAGAGACAUAAGAAAUUUCAACCCCCCUAAAAACUCUAAAUCUUUUAUUAAAAAUUGUUACAUCUAUAAGCAUGUGUUUUUACAAAUAAGGAAAUACUUGCUACAGGGACUGAAAAGAACAUGAGGCAGGUCUAUAAUUCAGAAUUACUUGCAUAAAAAUUAAAGCAUUUUAAACUCUUAAAAAUUCAAACAAAUUCCUUUUUGAAAAAACAGAUAACCAUAUAGUUCAACAAAGAAAAAUUCAGAGUGCUACACUGGAGACAAAAUAACACCUAAACCUGUGGGGAGCAAGAAGCUGAAUAAAAAUAAAGAGCGUACCUUUGUAGCAGAGACAGCCAACACCUCCUGGGCUGCCAGUUAGGAGUGUGAUUAUUGCCAACAGUCAGGACUGUGAUUAUUGCCUUCUCUUCUGCACUCAAGGGAUCAAACUUAGGCUCCCCAUGACAUUUAAUGCUCUACCUAUUAAUCAAGGUAGCCAAUGACCAGCAAGUUAAGUCUUCUAUUUUACUAGAAUAUGUAGUAUGAGAUAAAACAAAGAGGGAAAAUUUUGAGUAAUCUGCUUUUUCCCUUGCAGUCAUGUAAGAAUCACUGUUUCAAACAUGGACUUCCCAGGCCGAAGUUGCAUUGCAAACCAUGACUUUUACAUUCAAAUCAGAACAUUUCAUCAGACUGACAGGUCGUCUCAUCUUGAGGUCAUAAUCUGGGCACAAACUAAUGCUUGUUCAUAUUUGCCAGCACUGAAUCUUAAGACAUUUACAAACUCACUUCUUACCCUGUAGAAGUUUCUGUUUAAUACUGAAAAUGGUUGGCUUCCUUUAGUGUACUCAAUUGCUUAAAUUGCAGAACAGUGCUGUCAGUAGACUCUUAGAAGACCCAAAUCUCUCUUGAAAGACUGAAUAUGUACACAGAGCAUUCUGGAGCAUGGUGCACUGAUGACUGAUAACGUUUUCUUCAGUCUUCUAAAUUUACAGUAGAUGUAGCAGAGAAACCAGAGUUUUCAUUUGUAAUUUUUUCAGUGUUCCUUCUUAUCUGACAGCAAUUACUCCCCAAAAUUAUAGAAUAUCACAGAAUAUGUUUUCAUAUGAUUAAUAAAAGUGAAUGUUAGAAUGUCAAAAUAUUCUUGGCCUCCUUGUUAUUUCCUUAGUUCUGCAGAAACAGAAAGUCAAGGAAAGAAAUAACAUUUUCCUGCAACCUGAAAGACUCUUCCCCACAAAUCUAGUGGACCUUUAUAAAUUCAUUUGUUGGUAGUCACUUGCCCAGAAAGUAGAGCACUACUCUAGCCUGUACAACAGCCAAAUCUAAUUUAUCUCUAAUUACACACAAAUAUAAGAAAACAAUAAUUGGCUUUGUAGGCCAAUUAUGUGAGACACUACAGAAAAGAGCAAGUGGAGAUGACAAGAAAUGUAUGGAGAAAGAAUAGCCUACCCUAUUUAAACAUAGUGAAUAAGGCAGCCAAAAGUGAUGAAUGUCACCCCAUUAGCUAAUGAAAAGACCUCACAGCAGUCGCUCAACCUGCAGGUGUAUUUGGAGCUUGGCAAAAACCUCCUGCUCUCCCUCUUACUUGGGCUAAGGCCUGUUUCUGCAGCCUCAGACAGAACACCAAAAAUAAAAUUAACACAUUUUACAUGGAAAUUUUUUCCUUCCUAACCUUUAUGCAAGGUUAACAUAGUAUAUAAAUUUCAUCAUGCUUAAUUUCAAAGCUAUGCUACUACAACAUAUUACAGCAACAAAGGUUGCAGUUCUUAAUAGAAUAAUUUCAUAGUGUAUGCAAUCUAUGCUUCAAUUACAACUGUCCUUUUUACAUUCACUUCCACUUUAGCUGCACUGUACUGCUACAAAAGCAGGACCAAAACUGUUGUUAAGUUUCUGAUAAGCUGUCUUAACUUAUAUGCAACACUCACCCUCCAAAAAUACACUAAUUUCAGUAAUUUUAAUGGAAUUUUUUAAAUAAAAGAAACCUAUAUAACCCAGAAA